UGUCACUGUCAGUUCGAAAAUUAAUAGUUUUUAUCACAAUAAAUUAUGGCUAAUUUAACGGAAACCCAACGAAUUAAAAUUUUGAUGAUGCUAGGGUACGGGAAUCGAGUGCGCACGGAAAAAGAAGUAUGAAAACAAAAGCACCGACCAUCGAGACGUGACCUCGGAUCUGGCAGUUCGCAGCUGGCUAAUCAGGUUCGCCUUUUGUCUUACAGCAAGACAGACCAGCGUAUAGUCACUUGGAGUUUUAUUUCCAUACCUGUAUAUAAACACAACCACGUAUAAUUAUUAUACUCAUUAAUGUAAUUAUUAUAUACUAAUUAAAAUGCUACUUUAUUC